GACGAACGCUGGCGGCGUGCUUAACACAUGCAAGUCGAGCGGAAAGGCCCUUCGGGGUACUCGAGCGGCGAACGGGUGAGUAACACGUGAGUAAUCUGCCCUUGGCUUUGGGAUAACUACCGGAAACGGUGGCUAAUACCGGAUACGACAACCGUCUGCAUGGGCUGGUUGUGGAAAGUUUUUUCGGCCAGGGAUGUGCUCGCGGCCUAUCAGCUUGUUGGUGGGGUAAUGGCCUACCAAGGCUUCGACGGGUAGCCGGCCUGAGAGGGUGACCGGCCACACUGGGACUGAGACACGGCCCAGACGCCUACGGGAGGCAGCAGUGGGGAAGAUUGGACAAUGGGCGGAAGCCUGAUCCAGCAACGCCGCGUGAGGGAUGACGGCCUUCGGGUUGUAAACCUCUUUCAGUACCGACGAAGCGCCGAUGAUGGUGGUGACGGUAGGUACAGAAGAAGCACCGGCCAACUACGUG
rnacentral:rRNA from 1 species